rnacentral:lncRNA from 1 species
GACAUAAAAAGCAAAUUGUCUGUAAAAAGCCCCAAGCAAUUUGCGCGUCAGCCUUUUUAAGUUGGUGUAAUAUUAGCCACACUUACACUCAGUAUUGUAAACUACAGUUGUCAAAGGCACCUGCGUCUCCCAGCGUUUACCAACAUUUAGAUUUUGUGUUAAAGAAAAAAGAAAAAAAGAAUUCACUGGUAAUCUUCUGAGGAGUUAAACCAGAAGUAGAUCUGGAAAAUAUGUUAACCAGUCUUCAAAAGUAUUUCCGUUCCCGGAAGUCUUCACACCCUUUGUGACUAUGCCUUUUGUGACAUUUCCACACAUGUGACCUUCACACUCACCACGUUGAUUCCAACAGACAAGUCGUGGUCAGGGUUUUAUAGAGAUGGUAAGGUAAGACUUUGAAGCUGCUGUACAUCAUCAAUUCAGUCUGAAAAACAAUCUCUGUGGUUAAGCAUGUUAAAUCCCCUUGUGCUUUCACAGCAGCUUGGCUAAAGGUUAUUACUAUGAAGGCUCGGAGGGGGAGACCGAGUGCUCUCGCUGAAGCGAAUUCAAAGGAGUUACUCAUCUUGUGUGCAUUUCCAUGGAACCUCAUCAUCAGGUUUUCUUAAAAAUUGGCAGUCUCCAUCCACUAAAACACUGAACACUGAAAAGAAACUGGAGUGCACAGAGUGAGAUGUCCAUAAGGUAAGUCUUCCAUUUGUGUUCCCGAAACAUUCUGCCCAGAGUCACAGCAGCUCACCAGUCCCCAGUGUUUGUUUGCCUUCCAAGGUGGUGUGCUGAGCAUUUAAAGAGCAUCACCACAGUUAAUCCUCACUACAACCUUACACGGUGACUAGGAUUACUCUCUUCGUUAAUUGAUGAGGAAGCUGUGGCACAGAGCGUACUUGCCCC